rnacentral:lncRNA from 1 species
GUCUCAGCAUCCGGCCCUCAGCUCUGCGGCACAGUGCAUGCCCGGGCGGUAGGCACAUGGCGGGCAGGGCUGGGCUCCAGGGAGGCUCCUGCCAUGGGCCUCCGUCUGCUGGCUCCUGCUUUGAGGGCAGCACUGUCCACAGAAACACAGUGGGAGCCAUUUGAGUGAUUUUACUUUUAAACCACAUUUUUAAAACAGGCAGAAAAAAAGCUGAAGUUAACUUUGCUAAUAUGUAUUUUUAACCUGAUGCAUCUGAAGUACGAUCAUGUGAACAGGAGGUCAAUGAAAAUGAGACCUUCACAUUCUUAUUCUUAUUUCACAGUCUUCCAAAUCCCAUGUGUAUGUUACACGUUUUGGAGUCGCUCAGCAGAACGCGUGUCCAGCCUGCACCCACUGGACAGAAGAGCUCUCGAGAGCGUGUUUUACGGACCGUGCGAAAUCCAUCAUUUCCAGGAUCAAAAUUUACUGGAAACCAGAACCACAUUCUAAACAUCUGAGCUGGAACAGGUCACUGGGCACCACGGCCGUGAGAAGUGCUGGUCACCUGUGAAAAUCUCGGUGGCUUCAGCAGCUAAGGAAAGAAGACCUCUAGGGAUGAAAACUAUAGAGAGAACAUUUUUCACGUGAGCAUUAGGGAAACUCUGAAGACACUGUGGCUGAAUUAAAGGUGUGCACGGGCCCUGGGGGU